UGUUGAGGUACGUAAGAUGCUGAAUUUCCAUUGGUAUAUUAUGGAGAUAUGCCUUUGCUUAGCAGCGCAGGCUCUCCAGUCUCCAAGAUGAGAAAAAAUCAGAUUUCUCAAAGCAUGCCUCACGCAGGCAGAAAAGAAAAUUGGAUAUUGAGGUACUUUGGAUCGAUGUAACUAGCUAGCUAGUUUGUUUAUGCGCUAUAAUCAAAUGUAAGUCUAUCAAAGAUUUACAAGGACACCUGCCCUUGUCAAGAGCCCAAAGUGGAUGGUUUGGGUCUACUUCACCCAAACUCUGAAAUUUCUCAUUCGUCUGAAACUAAAAAGCCAUAAUUAAGGUUAUUCCUACUUCUAUUGCUGCACCCUAAAAUGGAAUCCCCUCUAGUCCACAACUUAUUCGGUUUUCUAUCAAAGGGCUCCUUGGAGUUCCAUGAUGAGAAGCUGUUCCUCCGGUGUAAUAUUCCCUCUUCUAACAUCCGGACGGAGAUAGUUUAGCCACCGGAGCCGGCAACUCUUUCCGGUACGUUUAAGACCUGAGAAACCAUCAUGAUGAUGAAUCAUUCUC